UAGAAAGGUUACUUCGGUACAUCGGUGACAGGUGGUGCAUGGUUGUCGUCAGCUCGUGUCGUGAGAUGUUGGGUUAAGUCCCGCAACGAGCGCAACCCCUAUUGUUAGUUGCCAUCAUUCAGUUGGGCACUCUAGCGAGACUGCCGGUAAUAAACCGGAGGAAGGUGGGGAUGACGUCAAUCAUCAUGCCCCUUAUGACCUGGGCUACACACGUGCUACAAUGGUUGGUACAACGAGUUGCGAGUCGGUGACGGCGAGCUAAUCUCUUAAAGCCAAUCUCAGUUCGGAUUGUAGGCUGCAACUCGCCUACAUGAAGUCGGAAUCGCUAGUAAUCGCGGAUCAGCACGCCGCGGUGAAUACGUUCCCGGGCCUU
rnacentral:rRNA from 1 species